rnacentral:rRNA from 1 species
UACGAAGGGGGCUAGCGUUGCUCGGAAUCACUGGGCGUAAAGCGCACGUAGGCGGCUUUCUAAGUCAGGGGUGAAAUCCUGGAGCUCAACUCCAGAACUGCCUUUGAUACUGGAGAGCUCGAGUCCGGAAGAGGUGAGUGGAACUGCGAGUGUAGAGGUGAAAUUUGUAGAUAUUCGCAAGAACACCAGUGGCGAAGGCGGCUCACUGGUCCGGUACUGACGCUGAGGUGCGAAAGCGUGGGGAGCGAACAGG